GCUUUCCGAAGAGUAGUCAUAUACGUUAACAGAUUAUAUUUCUGAUAUGAUUUGUAUACAGCUUCAGGCUGAACUUUCUUUUCACAAACCAAGUCUUCAACGCCGAUGUUUCCAAAUGCAAUUCCAGAAAAUAAACAUUAUGGUACCAAACGUUCCGUACCAAGAUCCUUUUAAUAUAUUGUAGAAUUGUAAUCUUAUCUAUUUUAAAACAAUAAUGUUUUGAAAAAAUGCAGAACAAUCACA
rnacentral:lncRNA from 1 species